AGUGUCGGUCUCCGUCUGUCUGCGUCUGUGCAGCUGAAGCGCCAAAGGGACAUGUAACCCAGGUGUUGUCUACUGGCUUUGUUUUGCCUGCCUUGCCCCUGUAUUUUUCUCCUUCCUGGUCACUCUGUAUUUCCCGCGGCGGUGACGUCAUUUGGUCACAUGGGGCGGUCGGCCAAUCACGAGCGUUUAUUCCGUGACGUCACAGCAUCACGUGACACGGCGCAGCCAAUCACAAACGCAUAUAAGGGUACAGGAAGUCAGCAGUGUUAGAUGCAGUGGGAGGCCAGAUGAGACAAGGCACAGGGGCCCUCUAUCCAGUUCAAAACAAAGAGCAUUUGGAAGUGAUUUUUGGCGGAAAUUGGCCAGGUCCAUGAUGGCGAGCUAGACCCUGGAACCUGAACCAUCAGAAAAGCCGCAUCCUCCCGCCAAGCCGGUAGGGGGCUCCUAGUAGCCCAGUUGAAAACAAAGACCUCUGACCCAGCUUAUGCCCACACCAUCGCUUUAAUGAACUAUAUUCAUACAAACUAAAUUCACGCUUCCCAGUGCACUUACCUUCCUCUGAACUGUGGGCGGGUUGGUUUUUCUUUGUGUUUUUGUUUCUAUGGUGCAACUAAAAGUUGCUGGACUCGAGGACACCCUACAACA